ensembl:snRNA U6 U6 spliceosomal RNA
GGGCUCACUGUGGCAGCACACGCACUAAAACUGGAACCAUACAGAGAAGAUUCGCACGGCCCCUGCGCAAGGAGGACAUGCAGAUCUGUGAAGUGCUCUGUAUUUUU